rnacentral:rRNA from 1 species
CACGUAGGGGGCGAGCGUUGUCCGGAAUCAUUGGGCGUAAAGAGCUCGUAGGCGGCUCGGUAAGUCGGGUGUGAAACCCCCAGGCUCAACCUGGGGACGCCACCCGAUACUGCUGUGGCUAGAGUCCAGUAGGGGAGUGUGGAAUUCCCGGUGUAGCGGUGAAAUGCGCAGAUAUCGGGAAGGAACACCAGCGGCGAAGGCGGCACUCUGGGCUGGAACUGACGCUGAGGAGACGAAAGCGUGGGUAGCAAACAGG